CCUACGGGAGGCAGCAGUGAGGAAUAUUGGUCAAUGGGCGCAAGCCUGAACCAGCCAAGUCGCGUGAGGGAUGACGGCCCUACGGGUUGUAAACCUCUUUUGCCGGGGAGCAACGCGCGCCACGUGUGGCGCGACUGAGAGUACCCGGAGAAAAAGCAUCGGCUAACUCCGUGCCAGCAGCCGCGGUAAUACGGAGGAUGCGAGCGUUAUCCGGAUUUAUUGGGUUUAAAGGGUGCGUAGGCGGAGCGUUAAGUCAGUGGUCAAAUGGCGGGGCUCAACCCCUGCCUGCCAUUGAAACUGGUGUUCUUGAGUGGAAGAGAAGUAUGCGGAAUGCGUGGUGUAGCGGUGAAAUGCAUAGAUAUCACGCAGAACCCCGAUUGCGAAGGCAGCAUGCCGGCUCCCUACUGACGCUGAAGCACGAAAGCGUGGGGAUCGAACAUGAUUAGAUACCCGGGUAGUC
rnacentral:rRNA from 1 species